rnacentral:rRNA from 1 species
UGGAAAAGGAUGUGGCGUUGCCCAGACAACUAGGAUGUUGGCUUAGAAGCAGCCAUCAUUUAAAGAGUGCGUAAUAGCUCACUAGUCGAGUGACACUGCGCCGAAAAUGUACCGGGGCUAAACAUAUUACCGAAGCUGUGGAUUGUCCUUUGGACAAUGGUAGGAGAGCGUUCUAAGGGCGUUGAAGCAUGAUCGUAAGGACAUGUGGAGCGCUUAGAAGUGAGAAUGCCGGUGUGAGUAGCGAAAGACGGGUGAGAAUCCCGUCCACCGAUUGACUAAGGUUUCCAGAGGAAGGCUCGUCCGCUCUGGGUUAGUCGGGUCCUAAGCUGAGGCCGACAGGCGUAGGCGAUGGAUAACAGGUUGAUAUUCCUGUACCACCUAUAAUCGUUUUAAUCGAUGGGGGGACGCAGUAGGAUAGGCGAAGCGUGCGAUUGGAUUGCACGUCUAAGCAGUAAGGCUGAGUAUUAGGCAAAUCCGGUACUCGUUAAGGCUGAGC